CAGCCGUAAACUAUGCGCGUUAGGUGUCAGGCAUGGCGCGACCGUGUCUGGUGCCGCAGGGAAGCCGUGAAGCGAGCCACCUGGGAAGUACGGCCGCAAGGCUGAAACUUAAAGGAAUUGGCGGGGGAGCACAACAACGGGUGGAGCCUGCGGUUUAAUUGGACUCAACGCCGGACAACUCACCGGGGACGACAGCAAUAUGUAGGCCAGGCUGAAGACCUUGCCUGAAUCGCUGAGAGGAGGUGCAUGGCGUAGACGUCU
rnacentral:rRNA from 1 species